rnacentral:rRNA from 1 species
AGCAGCCGCGGUAAUUCCAGCUCCAAUAGCGUAUAUUAAAGUUGUUGCAGUUAAAAAGCUCGUAGUUGAAUUUCGGGGUUAGUAGGUUGGUCAUGCCAUUGGUAUGUACUGAUCUCACUGAUUCCUCCUUCCUGAUGAACCGUAAUGCCAUUAAUUUGGUGUUGCGGGGAGACUGGACUGUUACUUUGAAAAAUUAGAGUGUUUAAAGCAGGCUAACGCUUGAAUACAUUAGCAUGGAAUAAUGAAAUAGGACGUUCGAUCCUAUUUUGUUGGUUUCUAGGAUUGACGUAAUGAUUAAUAGGGAUAGUUGGGGGCAUUAGUAUUCAAUUGUCAGAGGUGAAAUUCUUGGAUUUAUUGAAGACUAACUACUGCGAAAGCAUUUGCCAAGGAUGUUUUCAUUAAUCAAGAACGAAAGUUAGGGGAUCGAAGACGAUCAGAUACCGUCGUAGU